UGGGGAAUCUUCCGCAAUGGACGAAAGUCUGACGGAGCAACGCCGCGUGUAUGAUGAAGGUCUUCGGAUUGUAAAGUACUGUCAUUGGGGAAAGAACGGUUUUCUUGAAAAGAUUGAGAAGACAUGACGGUACCCAAGGAGGAAGCCCCGGCUAACUACGUGCCAGCAGCCGCGGUAAUACGUAGGGGGCAAGCGUUGUCCGGAAUUAUUGGGCGUAAAGGGCGCGUAGGCGGGCCUUUUAAGUCCGGUGUGAAAGAUCAGGGCUCAACCCUGAGAGUGCAUCGGAAACUGGAGGCCUUGAGGACAGGAGAGGAAAGUGGAAUUCCACGUGUAGCGGUGAAAUGCGUAGAUAUGUGGAGGAACACCAGUGGCGAAGGCGACUUUCUGGACUGUAACUGACGCUGAGGCGCGAAAGCGUGGGGAGCAAACAGGAUUAGAUACCCUGGUAGUCCACGCCGUAAACGAUGAGUGCUAGGUGUAGAGGGUAUCGACCCCUUCUGUGCCGCAGUUAACACAAUAAGCACUCCGCCUGGGGAGUACGGCCGCAAGGUUGAAACUCAAAUGAAUUGACGGGGUC
rnacentral:rRNA from 1 species